UUAAGUUGUUGCGGUUAAAAGCUCGUAGUUCGAGCUCUGUUCCGGACUGGCUGGGGAGGUCACCGCCCGGUGCUUGCCCGUCAGGUUCCGAACAGCUUCUGCGACUAGAAGCCAAGCCGGUUUGGCCGGGGUGCUCUUCACCGAGUGUCCCGCGCGGCCGGCCAGUUCACCUUGAACAAAUGANAGUGCUCAAAGCAGGCUACUCUUCAAAAUAAAGCCCGAAUGUUACCUGCAUGGAAUGAUGGAAGAUGAUCUCGGUUCCAUUUUGCUGGCUCUGGGAAUCCGAGUUAAUGAUAAACAGGGACUGUCGGGGGCAUCCGUACUACGACGCGAGAGGUGAAAUUCAGUGACCGUCGUAGGACGAACAACAGCGAAAGCAUUUGCCAAGAAUGUCUUCGUUGAUCAAGAACGAAAGUCAGAGGAUCGAAGGCGAUCAGAUACCGCCCUAGUUCUGACCCUAAACGAUGCUGACUAGCAAUUCGCCGUCGUUAUUCCCAUGACGUGGCGAGACGCCCCCGGGAAACCUCAAGUCUUUGAGUUCCGGGGGUAGUAUGGUUGCAAAACUGAAACUUAAAGGAAUUGACGGAAGGGCACCACCAGGAGUGGAGCCUGCGGCUUAAUUUGACUCAACACGGGAAACCUCACCAGGCCCGGACACCAGCAGGAUUGACAGAUUAAGAGCUCUUUCUCGAUUUGGUGGGUGGUGGUGCAUGGCCGUUCUUAGUUGGUGGAGUGAUUUGUCUGGUUAAUUCCGGUAACGAACGAGACUCUGGCCUACUAACUAGUCGACGCGGGUUUUGGUGCAUGGGCCCCGUUCGACAAUGUCUUCUUAGAGGGAUGAGCAGCGAGUAUAGCUGCAGGAGAUUGAGCAAUAACAGGUCUGUGAUGCCCUUAGAUGUCCUGGGCCGCACGCGCGCUACACUGAAUGGGUUAGCGGGUUCUCCUUCUCCGAGAGGAGCGGGAAAUCGCGUGAAAACCAUUCGUGAUAGGGAUUGGGGCUUGCAAUUGUUUCCCAUGAACGAGGAAUUCCCAGUAAGCGCAAGUCAUCAGCUUGCGUUGAUUAAGUCCCUGCCCUUUGUACACACCGCCCGUCGCUACUACCGAUUGAAUGAUUUAGUGAGGCCUUCGGACUGGCGGUCUUGGACUGGGCCUCCUCCGUCACUCCUUUUGGGGCCGGGGGACCCGCCAUGACGAGCCGGAAAGAUGUCCAAACUUGAUCAUUUAGAGGAAGUAAAGUCGUAACAAGGUUUCCGU
rnacentral:rRNA from 1 species